CUUUUGCUUUCUCCCAGGUUCCAGGAACGACUUCUCGUUCCUGGAACCUGGGAGAAAGUAAACA